UGCGUAGGUGGUUUGGUAAGUUAUCUGUGAAAUCCCCGGGCUUAACCUGGGCAGGUCAGAUAAAACUGCUGAACUCGAGUAUAGGAGAGGGCAGUGGAAUUUCCGGUGUAGCGGUGAAAUGCGUAGAGAUCGGAAGGAACACCAGUGGCGAAGGCGACUGCCUGGCCUAAUACUGACACUGAGGCACGAAAGCGUGGGUAGCGAACA
rnacentral:rRNA from 1 species